rnacentral:rRNA from 1 species
UUAUGAGAGUUUGAUCCUGGCUCAGGACGAACGCUGGCGGCGUGCCUAAUACAUGCAAGUCGAACGCUUUUUCUUUCACCGGAGCUUGCUCCACCGAAAGAAAAAGAGUGGCGAACGGGUGAGUAACACGUGGGUAACCUGCCCAUCAGAAGGGGAUAACACUUGGAAACAGGUGCUAAUACCGUAUAACACUAUUUUCCGCAUGGAAGAAAGUUGAAAGGCGCUUUUGCGUCACUGAUGGAUGGACCCGCGGUGCAUUAGCUAGUUGGUGAGGUAACGGCUCACCAAGGCAACGAUGCAUAGCCGACCUGAGAGGGUGAUCGGCCACACUGGGACUGAGACACGGCCCAGACUCCUACGGGAGGCAGCAGUAGGG